UACGUAGGGACCGAGCGUUGUCCGGAUUCAUUGGGCGUAAAGAGCUCGUAGGCGGCCACUCAAGUCGAAUGUGAAACCUCGAGGCUUAACCUCGAGCCUGCAUUCGAUACUGGGCGGCUAGAGUCUGGUAGGGGGAUCUGGAAUUCCUGGUGUAGCGGUGGAAUGCGCAGAUAUCAGGAAGAACACCCGUGGCGAAGGCGGCUCUCUGGAACGCAACUGACGCUGAGACGCGAAAAGCGUGGGGAGCAAACAGG
rnacentral:rRNA from 1 species